rnacentral:rRNA from 1 species
AUUGAACGCUGGCGGCAUGCCUUACACAUGCAAGUCGAACGCGAAAGGGGGCAACCCCGAGUAGAGUGGCGAACGGGUGAGCAAUACAUCGGAACACAUCCUGUAGCGGGGGACAACCUCGAGAAAUCGAGGCUAAUACCGCAUACGAUCUACGGAUGAAAGUGGGGGACCGCAAGGCCCCACACUAUAGGAGUGGCCGAUGCCGGAUUAGCUAGUUGGCGGGGUAAUAGCCCACCAAGGCUACGAGCCGUAGCUGGUUUGAGAGAACGACCAGCCACACUGGGACUGAGACACGGCCCAGACUCCUACGGGAGGCAGCAGUGGGGAAUUUUGGACAAUGGGCGAAAGCCUGAUCCAGCCAUGCCGCGUGAGUGAAGAAGGCCUUCGGGUUGUAAAGCUCUUUCGGCGGGGACGAAAUGGCGCGGGGUAACAUCCCGCGUCGAUGACGGUACCCGAAGAAGAAGGACCGGCUAACUACGUGCCAGCCGCCGCCGUAACAC